GCCCCUGUAGCUCAGUGGUAGAGCGUGACAUUGGUAAUGUCAAGGCCAUGGGUUCAAUCCCCAUCGGGGGCU
rnacentral:tRNA from 1 species